AGAUAGCGUGAGAUGAUGGGAUCAAAGCGCAAAUUCUGGCCGAUAUUACAAGAUCCGGAUCUUUCGAAGAUACUUCCAUAACAACCUCAAGUAACUGCGAGAAGAAGUCCAAAGUGGGGUUCAGUACCCUGCAGAGAUUGUUCGGUAUGCAACCAUGUUGAGAAGACAGACUCAUUUGAGGACUCCAGCGGAGGGAAAAAAUUUUGCAUCAUAUAAAUUGUAAGACGACAGCAGUGAUCUACUAUGCUAGGUGCCCUUGCGGACUGAUCUACGUGGGAAUGACAUCAAGAAAAAUGCGGGACCGCACAUAAUGUACAAUGGAGACAACUCAAGUUCAGAGGAAUAGACCGACUUAAUUUGGGCAUCCGAGGAGGAGACGUUCAAAAACAACUCGGCAAACUAGAAUAUAUACAAUGUUGGUUGUUUACUUACCUGGAUCCAGCGCGGAAUUUCAUCCUCCGUUAUCCUCCGUCAGGCCUAUGAAAAUGGGAAUCAUUAUGUACUGUACAUUACUCAAGUUGCUGUCAUUUAU